rnacentral:rRNA from 1 species
AGCGUAUAUUUAAGUUGUUGCAGUUAAAAAGCUCGUAGUUGGAUUUCGGUUAAGAGCGACCGGUCCGCCGUUUGGUGUGCACUGGUUGGUUUUAACUUCCUGUAGAGGACGUGCUCUGGGCUUAACGGUCUGGACUCGGAGUCUACGUGGUUACUUUGAAAAAAUUAGAGUGUUCAAAGCGGGCUUACGCUUGAAUAUUUCAGCAUGGAAUAACACUAUAGGACUCCUGUCCUAUUUCGUUGGUCUCGGGACGGGAGUAAUGAUUAAGAGGAACAGUUGGGGGCAUUCGUAUUUCAUUGUCAGAGGUGAAAUUCUUGGAUUUAUGAAAGACGAACUUCUGCGAAAGCAUUUGCCAAGGAUGUUUUCAUUAAUCAAGAACGAAAGUUGGGGGCUCGAAGAUGAUUAGAUACCAUCCUAGUCUCAACCAUAAACGAUGCCGACUAGGGAUUGGCGGAUGUUAAUUGAUGACUCCGCCAGCACCUUAUGAGAAAUCAAAGUUUUUGGGUUCCGGGGGGAGUAUGGUCGCAAGGCUGAAACUUAAAGGAAUU